rnacentral:rRNA from 1 species
GGCAGGCCUUACACAUGCAAGUCGAACGGUAACGCGGGGGCAACCCUGGCGACGAGUGGCGAACGGGUGAGUAAUAUAUCGGAACGUGCCCAAUAGUGGGGGAUAGCUCGGCGAAAGCCGGAUUAAUACCGCAUACGCCCUACGGGGGAAAGCGGGGGAUCGAAAGACCUCGCGCUAAUGGAGCGGCCGAUAUCUGAUUAGCUAGUUGGUGAGGUAAAAGCUCACCAAGGCUGCGAUCAGUAGCUGGUCUGAGAGGACGACCAGCCACACUGGGACUGAGACACGGCCCAGACUCCUACGGGAGGCAGCAGUGGGGAAUUUUGGACAAUGGGGGCAACCCUGAUCCAGCAAUGCCGCGUGAGUGAAGAAGGCCUUCGGGUUGUAAAGCUCUUUUGUCCGGGAAGAAA